rnacentral:rRNA from 1 species
CAGCAGUGGGGAAUAUUGCACAAUGGGGGAAACCCUGAUGCAGCGACGCCGCGUGGAGGAAGAAGGUCUUCGGAUUGUAAACUCCUGUUGUUGAGGAAGAUAAUGACGGUACUCAACAAGGAAGUGACGGCUAACUACGUGCCAGCAGCCGCGGUAAAACGUAGGUCACAAGCGUUGUCCGGAAUUACUGGGUGUAAAGGGAGCGCAGGCGGGAGAACAAGUUGGAAGUGAAAUCCAUGGGCUCAACCCAUGAACUGCUUUCAAAACUGUUUUUUCUUGAGUAGUGCAGAGGUAGGCGGAAUUCCCGGUGUAGCGGUGGAAUGCGUAGAUAUCGGGAGGAACACCAGUGGCGAAGGCGGCCUACUGGGCACCAACUGACGCUGAGGCUCGAAAGUGUGGGUAGCAAACAGGAUUAGAUACCCUGGUAGUCCACACCGUAAACGAUGAUUACUAGGUGUUGGAGGAUUGACCCCUUCAGUGCCGCAGUUAACACAAUAAGUAAUCCACCUGGGGAGUACGACCGCAAGGUUGAAACUCAAAGGAAUUGACGGGGGCCCGCACAAGCAGUGGAGUAUGUGGUUUAAUUCGACGCAACGCGAAGAACCUUACCAAGUCUUGACAUCCCUUGACGAACAUAGAAAUAUGUUUUCUCUUCGGAGCAAGGAGACAGGUGGUGCAUGGUUGUCGUCAGCUCGUGUCGUGAGAUGUUGGGUUAAGUCCCGCAACGAGCGCAACCCUUAUGGUCAGUUACUACGCAAGAGGACUCUGGCCAGACUGCCGUUGACAAAACGGAGGAAGGUGGGGAUGACGUCAAAUCAUCAUGCCCUUUAUGACUUGGGCUACACACGUACUACAAUGGCGUUAAACAAAGAGAAGCAAGACCGCGAGGUGGAGCAAAACUCAGAAACAACGUCCCAGUUCGGACUGCAGGCUGCAACUCGCCUGCACGAAGUCGGAAUUGCUAGUAAUCGUGGAUCAGCAUGCCACGGUGAAUACGUUCCCGGGCCUUGUACACACCGCCCGUCACACCAUGAGAGCCGGGGGGACCCGAAGUCGGUAGUCUAACCGCAAGGAGGACGCCGCCGAAGGUAAAACUGGUGAUUGGGGUGAAGUCGUAACAAGGUAGCCGUAGGAGAACCUGCGGCUG